UUUUUUUUUUUUUUUUUUGGUCUUUUUAAGGGUGCACCUGCGGCAUAUGGAUGUUCGCAGGCUAGGGGUUGAACUGCAGCUGUAGCCACCGGCCUACGCCAGAGCCACACAACACGGGAGCCCAGCCGAGUCUGUGACCAACACCUCUGCUUACAGCAACACCGGAUCCUUAACCCACUGAGUGAGGCCAGAGAUUGAACCUGCAUCCUCAUGGAUACUAGUCAGAUUUGUUUCCCCUGAGCCACGAUGGGAACUCCUGUAAUUGGCUGCUGGACCCAUUGGCUUCUAGACCCGCCUACAGUGGGUUGGGCUUCCCUGGCUCUCAUGUGUGGAGGGUCCAGUGCCAGACCCGAGGCAGGAGUGGGGCUGGGGCGUCCACCCUGGGGAGGCAGGGGUGGGGUCAUCCCAGCUCCUUCCCUUGGUCCCUGUUGGACUCCUGGUCUUGGAACUAGAUGCUCAGCCAGAGCUAGGUCUCACCCAGGGGGUUUCAGACUUUCUGAACCUUUAAAUGUAGCCACACACACACACACACACACACACACACACACCGGAUGACACUUUGGCCCACUGGCUUGCUGGCAUGAUUCUGGAUUUCAGGUGGGAAUAAAUACAUUCUACCGGAGGCCUCACUGGACAAGGUGAAGGCACCUCAGAGGUCACGGAGGUCAGGGGUCACGAUGUCAAAUACGGAAGAAAGCCCCUGGUGGGGGAUAGAAAGCCAGAGCCAGACCCCGUCUCCCUGCCCCGUUUCGGUCUGUUGGCUUUUAAGCAUAACACACAGAGAAACGUGCCCAGAGCGUCCACGAGUAGGUGAAUGAGUGCCCGUGAGUGUGUGAAUUUUCACACACUGAACGCCUGUGUCACCAGCACCUGUGAAGGCCCCUGGCAUCUGUGUCACUUCUUGUAAGUGAGAUUAUACAGUGGGAAUUUUGUGUCUGGCUGGUGUAACGCAUUAUCAUGGCUGGGAGGUUCCCCCACGUUGUUGCCUGUUGUAGUAGAUGACUCAUUCUCAUUGCUGUAAAGUACUCCUUUGGGUGGAAAUCCAACACUUUGCCCAUUCUACUGCUGCUGGGCUUCUGGGUAAUUAUAAAUAGAGAGCUGCUCUGCUACUUACAGUAGCCAAGACAUGGAUGCAACCUCAAAGUCCUUUGACAGGUGAAUGGAUAAAAAAGAUGCGGUACAUAUACACACAAUGGAAUAUUACUCAGCCAUAAAAAAGAACGAAAUAACGCUAUUUGCAGCAAUAUAGACGGACCAGAAAUGAUCAUAC
rnacentral:lncRNA from 1 species